GACGAACGCUGGCGGCGUGCCUAAUACAUGCAAGUAGAACGCUGAAGGAGGAGCUUGCUUCUCUGGAUGAGUUGCGAACGGGUGAGUAACGCGUAGGUAACCUGCCUGGUAUCGGGGGAUAACUAUUGGAAACGAUAGCUAAUACCGCAUAAUAGUAGAUGUUGCAUUGCAUUUGCUUGAAAGGUGCAAUUGAAUCACUACCAGAUGGACCUGCGUUGUAUUAGCUAGUUGGUGGGGUAACGGCUCACCAAGGCGACGCUACAUAGCCGACCUGAGAGGGGGAUCGGCCCCACUGGGAUGGAGACACGGCCCAGAACUCUACGGGAGGCCGCAGUAGGGAAUCUUCGGCAAGGGACGGAAGUCGGACCGAGCAACGCCGCGUGAGUGAAGAAGGUUUUCGGAUCGUAAAGCUCUGUUGUAAGAGAAGAACGAGUGUGAGAGGGGAAAGUUCACACUGUGACGGUAGCUUACCAGAAAGGGACGGCUAACUACGUG
rnacentral:rRNA from 1 species